UGCUUCAAAUACAAACAGAACAAAGAAAAAGAAGAAGAAAGAAAGAACAAAUACUUAUCUCUUUUGGUUAUCUCUUUGUCUGAAUUUUUUUAAAAAUGGAUCCUACUUUGAAUGAUCAUCAAGAGUUGGAACAAAUCGAAGCUAUUGAUGAUCUUCUUGAAGAUUUCUGGUUCUUUGAUAACUUACUUGACAGAAGAUCAAGAAUCUUGAGGUACUGCCAUUCAGAUCCUUAUCCUCUUUCUCCUCCUUCCUCUUCCACUUGUCCGAACUCAAAAGAUGGAGAUUCGGUUUCAGACAAGAAGCUUCUAAAAGCUCCCACAGGGGGAGACUCGGUUCAACUACCGUGUAUAGUGAAUAAAGAAGGUGGAAGCGAGCCUGAGAAGAUGAACAAGAUGAGAAGGCAGUUCUCUGAAAAGAUUAGGGUUCAAGAACGAAGAACUUACUUGCAGAAGAAGGAACCUGUCGUUCGUGAGAAGGGGAGUAGAGAAAGCUCUAAAAAGAACAGAGCUGGUAGUACUAGUAGUUUUUGUAAUAACAAUAGUUUGCAGAGAACUCAGACGUUACCGAGUUACAUAGGAAGAGAAGAUGUCGGAAAUGAGUUUCAAGAUCAAGAGAUUGACGAUUCGAGAAUGGGAUUCUUGAUCCGUGAAGCCAUCGCUAGCUCUUCUUCUGAGUUUACUCCAACGAAACACAACACACCAAAGAGUUCAAGCAUUCCAAGACCUAAACCACCGAGACACUCGAGAUCAGAAGAAGCUAUUCAAGAGAUGGUGGCCAAGUCACAAAGAAGCCCAAGAGGUAAGACGCUGCGUAAGACGUUAAGCAGCGUCGAUACAAAAGAGCUUCUUAUGUUGAAGGACUUGGACAUUACCGAACCUGAGACGAACCAAGCAAAAGAUGAGGAAGAACAGAGGAGGGUUCCACGGGCAGCGGUGAAAAGUAGGUCUGCAGCUGUGGUGGUGGGUCAGCCGAUUCCUGUUUGGGUCCCAAAGGAGUCGAGAAGAGAUAUGAAAACUCAGAUCAAGUUUUGGGCUCGAACUGUCGCAAGUAAUGUUCGACAAGAAUGCUGAAAACAUGCAUUGGUUUUUCUUUGACAACAAAUGAUUCUCUCUAUAAGUGGAGUCAUUGCUCUCAUUACUCUAUAACUUCAUUACUACUAAUCUACUGUUGAGUCAGGGCUCUCAAUCGUCAGACUAUUUCUGAUAACUUCUCGGUUAGGCAAAUCACAGUAUCCGUAAGGACUAUCAUCAACGGAAUAUGCUAUCUAGCAACAUUUGUUUUCAGUAUCAACGCGGUCGUACAUCUCCUUUACUCUGGUCAGCUAGCGUUCAAUGAAGAGUCUGAUGAAGCCAUGCAGGCCACCACAACAGAGCCUGAAGGAGACUCAUCAGGCGACAGGAGUGAAUUUAAUAAAAGCAGUGAAGAUCAAAGCUCGGGUGAUUAGUAGGCAACAUGUAACAAUAAUGUCAUAAGUUUUACUUAUACAGUAAUCUGCUAGUUUUGAUGUGAGCAUUAGACUAACGGAUACAGAUUUUCAUGAAAAAAACAUUAGCAUAGAGAAAUAAA